rnacentral:rRNA from 1 species
UACGAAGGGGGCUAGCGUUGUUCGGAAUUACUGGGCGUAAAGCGCGCGCAGGCGGUCUUCCAAGUCAGUGGUGAAAGCCCGGAGCUCAACUCCGGAAUUGCCAUUGAAACUGUGAGACUGGAGUACGAGAGAGGUGAGUGGAAUUCCCAGUGUAGAGGUGAAAUUCGUAGAUAUUGGGAAGAACACCAGUGGCGAAGGCGGCUCACUGGCUCGUAACUGACGCUCAGGCGCGACAGCGUGGGGAUCGAAACAGG